rnacentral:lncRNA from 1 species
UUUUAAAGGAAACAGAAAUGGAGGAGGCAGAAGUGUUCUGUAGGAACCAGAAGCUGAGUCUCCACAGGGCCAGGAAAGUGAGCAGAAUGAGAAGGCUCCAUUUGUGCCACUGCCUUGUCAACUAACCUCCUGGGAACUUGACUCAAUAGGUCACAGAAGAAUAUGAAGAGGACCCGUGCAAGUGUUUGUUUCUUUCUCAGAAGAGUAUGUCAUACAAACUAAUCCUCAGCGAGGAGGUCACAGACUCUGUGGCGAUGAUCUAGGUACCUUUCUCAAUAUUCUUCUAUUCUUUAUGACCAAAGAGAUGACCAUGGGUUGUAUAGCACUUCUCCUUGCUGCCAUUUGCUUGGUUCCACUGAUGCCAGGCCAUGUUUUAAACAAGAGCCGGCCCAAAACAGAGACCACUAAGAGCACUCUUAUGCCCUUACUGUGAGCUCUCAUCUAUUAUCUGGAAGAGAUGAUCAGAAGCAGGAAUACAAAUCUAGGCUUUGGGAGAAUAAAGUGGAGUUUGCUUGAGCAUUUUAAACCUGGAGGUAAAAGUAAUGCGUGGUUAACCAUUGCCCCCAGUCCUUGUUUGAAGGUUGCUUUAAAGGCCCCCAUAUCCUGUAUUCCUUAGAUGGAGGUUGAGUGGUCUGUGGAGGGUAAGGGAGCAAAGAGAGGAAGUAGUUCAUGGAUAGUGGCAGUAUGCUCAGCACUAAACAGGUAAAGACCCGCACAGGAUUGUCCAUCACGCGAUGGCAAGUUGGAAGGACACUUAAUGUCACAGUGUCUAAGAUGCUUCUGCUAUGUGUAGAUUCCCUUGGGUUCCUCCUUGCAAGGUCACUGAAGUUUAUUUAUAUCAUUCUGCCUGAGGCUACA